AAAUUGAAGAGUUUGAUCAUGGCUCAGAUUGAACGCUGGCGGCAGGCCUAACACAUGCAAGUCGAACGGUAACAGGAAACAGCUUGCUGUUUCGCUGACGAGUGGCGGACGGGUGAGUAAUGUCUGGGAAACUGCCUGAUGGAGGGGGAUAACUACUGGAAACGGUAGCUAAUACCGCAUAACGUCGCAAGACCAAAGAGGGGGACCUUCGGGCCUCUUGCCAUCGGAUGUGCCCAGAUGGGAUUAGCUAGUAGGUGGGGUAACGGCUCACCUAGGCGACGAUCCCUAGCUGGUCUGAGAGGAUGACCAGCCACACUGGAACUGAGACACGGUCCAGACUCCUACGGGAGGCAGCAGUGGGGAAUAUUGCACAAUGGGCGCAAGCCUGAUGCAGCCAUGCCGCGUGUAUGAAGAAGGCCUUCGGGUUGUAAAGUACUUUCAGCGGGGAGGAAGGGAGUAAAGUUAAUACCUUUGCUCAUUGACGUUACCCGCAGAAGAAGCACCGGCUAACUCCGUGCCAGCAGCCGCGGUAAUACGGAGGGUGCAAGCGUUAAUCGGAAUUACUGGGCGUAAAGCGCACGCAGGCGGUUUGUUAAGUCAGAUGUGAAAUCCCCGGGCUCAACCUGGGAACUGCAUCUGAUACUGGCAAGCUUGAGUCUCGUAGAGGGGGGUAGAAUUCCAGGUGUAGCGGUGAAAUGCGUAGAGAUCUGGAGGAAUACCGGUGGCGAAGGCAGCCCCCUGGACGAAGACUGACGCUCAGGUGCGAAAGCGUGGGGAGCAAACAGGAUUAGAUACCCUGGUAGUCCACGCCGUAAACGAUGUCGACUUGGAGGUUGUGCCCUUGAGGCGUGGCUUCCGGAGCUAACGCGUUAAGUCGACCGCCUGGGGAGUACGGCCGCAAGGUUAAAACUCAAAUGAAUUGACGGGGGCCCGCACAAGCGGUGGAGCAUGUGGUUUAAUUCGAUGCAACGCGAAGAACCUUACCUGGUCUUGACAUCCACAGAACUUUCCAGAGAUGGAUUGGUGCCUUCGGGAACUGUGAGACAGGUGCUGCAUGGCUGUCGUCAGCUCGUGUUGUGAAAUGUUGGGUUAAGUCCCGCAACGAGCGCAACCCUUAUCCUUUGUUGCCAGCGGUCCGGCCGGGAACUCAAAGGAGACUGCCAGUGAUAAACUGGAGGAAGGUGGGGAUGACGUCAAGUCAUCAUGGCCCUUACGACCAGGGCUACACACGUGCUACAAUGGCGCAUACAAAGAGAAGCGACCUCGCGAGAGUAAGCGGACCUCAUAAAGUGCGUCGUAGUCCGGAUUGGAGUCUGCAACUCGACUCCAUGAAGUCGGAAUCGCUAGUAAUCGUGGAUCAGAAUGCCACGGUGAAUACGUUCCCGGGCCUUGUACACACCGCCCGUCACACCAUGGGAGUGGGUUGCAAAAGAAGUAGGUAGCUUAACCUUCGGGAGGGCGCUUACCACUUUGUGAUUCAUGACUGGGGUGAAGUCGUAACAAGGUAACCGUAGGGGAACCUGCGGUUGGAUCACCUCCUUA
rnacentral:rRNA from 1 species